rnacentral:rRNA from 1 species
UACGGAGGGUGCAAACGUUGCUCGGAAUCAUUGGGCGUAAAGCGCACGUAGGUGGCUUGUUAAGUCGGGUGUGAAAUCCCUGGGCUCAACCCAGGAAGUGCACUCGAAACUGGCGAGCUUGAGUACUGAAGAGGGUCGCGGAAUUCCCGGUGUAGAGGUGAAAUUCGUAGAUAUCGGGAGGAACACCAGUGGCGAAGGCGGCGACCUGGGCGGAUACUGACACUGAGGUGCGAAAGCGUGGGGAGCAAACAGG